UGCAGGUCUUGUCACCAACACUAUUAAAGUUCUGACCGAAAACGAGGACAUUAAGUGUAACGAUUGCGCAAGAGCUUAACGGCUACUUUUCCAGAGUUUG